rnacentral:rRNA from 1 species
UCAUAUGCUUGUCUCAAAGAUUAAGCCAUGCAUGUCUAAGUAUAAGCAAUUAUACAGCGAAACUGCGAAUGGCUCAUUAUAUAAGUUAUCGUUUAUUUGAUAGUACCUUUCUACUUGGAUAACCGUGGUAAUUCUAGAGCUAAUACAUGCUAAAAAUCCCGACUUCGGAAGGGAUGUAUUUAUUAGAUUAAAAACCAAUGCCCUCUGGGCUCUCUGGUGAUUCAUAAUAACUUCUCGAAUCGCAUGGCCUUGCGCCGGCGAUGGUUCAUUCAAAUUUCUUCCCUAUCAACUUUCGAUGUUUGGGUAGUGGCCAAACAUGGUUGCAACGGGUAACGGAGGGUUAGGGCUCGACCCCGGAGAAGGAGCCUGAGAAACGGCUACUACAUCCAAGGAAGGCAGCAGGCGCGCAAAUUACCCAAUCCCGAUUCGGGGAGGUAGUGACAAUAAAUACUGAUACAGGGCUCUUUUGGGUCUUGUAAUUGGAAUGAGUACAAUUUAAAUCCCUUAACGAGGAACAAUUGGAGGGCAAGUCUGGUGCCAGCAGCCGCGGUAAUUCCAGCUCCAAUAGCGUAUAUUAAAGUUGUUGUGGUUAAAAAGCUCGUAGUUGAACCUUGGGCCUGGCUGGCCGGUCCGCCUCACCGCGUGUACUGGUCCGGCCGGGCCUUUCCCUCUGUGGAACCCCAUGCCCUUCACUGGGUGUGGCGGGGAAACAGGACUUUUACUUUGAAAAAAUUAGAGUGCUCCAGGCAGGCCUAUGCUCGAAUACAUUAGCAUGGAAUAAUGAAAUAGGACGUGCGGUUCUAUUUUGUUGGUUUCUAGGACCGCCGUAAUGAUUAAUAGGGACAGUCGGGGGCAUCAGUAUUCAAUUGUCAGAGGUGAAAUUCUUGGAUUUAUUGAAGACUAACUACUGCGAAAGCAUUUGCCAAGGAUGUUUUCAUUAAUCAGGAACGAAAGUUAGGGGAUCGAAGACGAUCAGAUACCGUCGUAGUCUUAACCAUAAACUAUGCCGACUAGGGAUCGGACGAUGUUAUUUUUUGACUCGUUCGGCACCUUACGAGAAAUCAAAGUGCUUGGGCUCCAGGGGGAG